rnacentral:rRNA from 1 species
AGUGAACGCUGGCGGUAGGCCUAACACAUGCAAGUCGAACGGCAGCACAGUAAGAGCUUGCUCUUACGGGUGGCGAGUGGCGGACGGGUGAGGAAUACAUCGGAAUCUACUUUUUCGUGGGGGAUAACGUAGGGAAACUUACGCUAAUACCGCAUACGACCUACGGGUGAAAGCAGGGGAUCUUCGGACCUUGCGCGAUUGAAUGAGCCGAUGUCGGAUUAGCUAGUUGGCGGGGUAAAGGCCCACCAAGGCGACGAUCCGUAGCUGGUCUGAGAGGAUGAUCAGCCACACUGGAACUGAGACACGGUCCAGACUCCUACGGGAGGCAGCAGUGGGGAAUAUUGGACAGUGGGCGCAAGCCUGAUCCAGCCAUACCGCGUGGGUGAAGAAGGCCUUCGGGUUGUAAAGCCCUUUUGUUGGGAAAGAAAAGCAGCAGGUUAAUACCCCGCUGUCCUGACGGUACCCAAAGAAUAAGCACCGGCUAACUGCGU